rnacentral:rRNA from 1 species
GACGAACGCUGGCGGCGUGCUUAACACAUGCAAGUCGAACGGAAAGGCCCUGCUUUUGUGGGGUGCUCGAGUGGCGAACGGGUGAGUAACACGUGAGUAACCUGCCCUUGACUUUGGGAUAACUUCAGGAAACUGGGGCUAAUACCGGAUAGGAGCUCCUGCUGCAUGGUGGGGGUUGGAAAGUUUCGGCGGUUGGGGAUGGACUCGCGGCUUAUCAGCUUGUUGGUGGGGUAGUGGCUUACCAAGGCUUUGACGGGUAGCCGGCCUGAGAGGGUGACCGGCCACAUUGGGACGGAGAUACGGCCCAGACUCCUACGGGAGGCAGCAGUGGGGAAUAUUGCACAAUGGGCGAAAGCCUGAUGCAGCAACGCCGCGUGCGGGAUGACGGCCUUCGGGUUGUAAACCGCUUUCGCCUGUGACGAAGCGUGAGUGACGGUAAUGGGUAAAGAAGCACCGGCUAACUACGU